rnacentral:rRNA from 1 species
UACGUAGGGUGCGAGCGUUGUCCGGAAUUACUGGGCGUAAAGAGCUUGUAGGUGGUUUGUCGCGUUGUUCGUGAAAUCUCACGGCUUAACUGUGAGCGUGCGGGCGAUACGGGCAGACUAGAGUACUGCAGGGGAGACUGGAAUUCCUGGUGUAGCGGUGGAAUGCGCAGAUAUCAGGAGGAACACCAGUGGCGAAGGCGAGUCUCUGGGAUGAUGCUGACGCUGAGGCGCGAAAGCCAGGGGAGCAAACGGG